CCUACGGGAGGCAGCAGUGGGGAAUAUUGCACAAUGGGGGAAACCCUGAUGCAGCAACGCCGCGUGAGUGAUGAAGGAUUUCGGUAUGUAAAGCUCUGUCAGCAGGGAAGAGAAUGACGGUACGUGACUAAGAAGCCCCGGCUAAAUACUUGCCAGCAGCCGCGGGAAUACUUAGGGGGCGAGCGUUAUCCGGAUUUACUGGGUGUAAAGGGAGCGGAGACGGUUCUGCAAGGCUGAAGUGAAAGCCCGUGGCUUAACCGCGGAACGGCUUUGGAAACUGUGGAACGGGAGUGCUGGAGAGGCAAGUGGAAUGCCUAGUGUAGCGGUGAAAUGCGUAGAUAUUAGGAGGAACACCAGUGGCGAAGGCGGCUUGCUGGACAGUAACUGACGUUGAGGCGCGAAAGCGUGGGGAGCAAACAGGAUUAGAUACCCGUGUAGUC
rnacentral:rRNA from 1 species